rnacentral:tRNA from 1 species
GGGGAUUUAGCUCAGCGGUAGAGCGCUUGCCUAGCAAGCUCAAGGUCCUGGGUUCAGUCCCCA